GUGAUUUUCACAGUGAGAGGCGCGGAAGCGCCUCUAGCGGCCGUCAGUGAGACAGCCACUAGAGGCUGGAUUACCCCUCAGUGAAACAUAGAGGGACCUGGCACCCAGACCACUUAAUUGAGCUGAAGUGGUCUGGGUGCCAAUAGUGGUCCUUUAAUACAGGUUAGAUAUGUUUUUUCCUGGUAAUUAAACUGCUCUUGGAUGCUUAGAUAGAUAAACUGGACAUGAGAAAUAUGUUAAGUAAAAGAGUGAACAUGAGUAGUAUCACUAGGUGAGGAAUUGCUUAAGGAUGU